rnacentral:rRNA from 1 species
UACGAAGGGGGCUAGCGUUGCUCGGAAUGACUGGGCGUAAAGGGCGCGUAGGCGGUUUGUACAGUCAGGUGUGAAAUUCCCGGGCUCAACCUGGGGGCUGCACUUGAUACGUAGGAACUUGAGUGGGGAAGAGGGUCGUGGAAUUCCCAGUGUAGAGGUGAAAUUCGUAGAUAUUGGGAAGAACACCGGUGGCGAAGGCGGCGACCUGGUCCUUGACUGACGCUGAGGCGCAAAAGCGUGGGGAGCAAACAGG